GACGUAGGGGGCGAGCGUUGUCCGGAUUCAUUGGGCGUAAAGAGCGUGUAGGCGGCCAGGUAGGUCUGGUGUGAAAACUCGAGGCUUAACCUCGAGAUGUCAUCGGAAACCAUCUGGCUAGAGUCCGGAAGAGGAGAGUGGAAUUCCUGGUGUAGCGGUGAAAUGCGCAGAUAUCAGGAAGAACACCAAUGGCGAAAGCAGCUCUCUGGGACGGUACUGACGCUGAGACGCGAAAGCGUGGGGAGCGAACAGG
rnacentral:rRNA from 1 species